GUUCCAGUGGCUUAUUGGUCUAAGAGCUCGCCUUGUAACCAGAAGACCCUGGGUUCGAACCCCAGUGGGUACG
rnacentral:tRNA from 1 species